rnacentral:SRP_RNA from 1 species
UGGGUGAUCCGUACAACCAGAGAACAUGAACCGUGUCAGGUCCGAAAGGAAGCAGCACUAAGUGUUUGACGGUGUGAUACGGAUCACUUUCAU